GGGGUUGUGGCUUAGUAGUAGAGUGCUUGCCUAGCAUGUAUGAGGCACUGGGUUCAAUUCUCAGCACCA
rnacentral:tRNA from 1 species